rnacentral:rRNA from 1 species
CAGUCGCCGCGGUAAUACGUAGGGUGCAAGCGUUAAUCGGAAUUACUGGGCGUAAAGCGUGCGUAGGCGGUGAGUUAAGUCUGCUGUGAAAUCCCCGGGCUCAACCUGGGAAUGGCAGUGGAUACUGGCUCGCUAGAGUGUGUCAGAGGAUGGUGGAAUUCCCGGUGUAGCGGUGAAAUGCGUAGAGAUCGGGAGGAACAUCAGUGGCGAAGGCGGCCAUCUGGGACAACACUGACGCUGAGGCACGAAAGCGUGGGGAGCAAACAGGAUUAGAUACCCCCGUAGUCCCUGUCUCUUAUAA